rnacentral:lncRNA from 1 species
UGAAGCUUAAAAUAAUUUUUCCGUAACGUUGAAACCUUGACACAUAACCUAACGUCCGUUUAUUUUUUACGCGCAUUACAAACUUAGAUAACACUCGGCCAACUCUAACAAGACACUCAAAAUCUGCAACUGACAAAAGGAAAAAACCACAGGCUUCAAUCAGUGAAGAAAAAAAGCUGCCCGCCUUUUUUCUUUUAGGAUCUAUAACAAGAUUUUCGGUUGCACCUGGCCAGGUUGAUUUGGAAGAAAAGAAAAUCUAGAGGGGACCGUCCAACGACGCCAGGGCUUGCGUAUUGGGUUGACUGAAGUCCAAAGUUACUAAUUUGACCUUUAUCGUUUCUGUGGCUGCGCCUUGUGCUGAUCGGUACUGGGGGGCUCUACGUAACAUGCCGUCGUGGUCUCGGGAUGGCCCUGCUGCUCCAUCACCCACAAUUGUAACUCAUCUAAUCCGAUCCUGCCCCUGCUCCUCUUCUUUUUUUCUUUUUUUUUAAUAUUUAAUUUUUUUUUAACUUGAGAGAGAAAAACACUAAAUUUGAUUUUUAAAAUAAAAUAU